GACUAACGCUGGCGGCGUGCCUAAUACAUGCAAGUCGAACGCUGUGGGGACGGGUGAGUAACACGUGGGUAACCUCCCAUCAGAGGGGAUAACACUUGGAAACAGGUGCUAAACCGAUAUUGAUUGAUGGACCCGCGGGGCAUUAGCUAGGUGGUGAGGUAACGGCUCACCAAGGCCACGAUGCAUAGCCGACCUGAGAGUGUGAUCGGACACACGGGGACGGAGACACGGGCCAGACGCCGACGGGAGGCAGCAGGAGGGAAUCUUCGGCAAUGGACGAAAGGCUGACCGAGCAACGCCGCGUGAGUGAAGAAGGUUUGCGGAUCGUAAAACUCUGUUGGUAGAGAAGCGGUAUCUAACCAGAAAGCCACGGCUAACUACGUGCCAGCAGCCGCGGUAAUAC
rnacentral:rRNA from 1 species